rnacentral:tRNA from 1 species
GUCUUCGUGGUGUAGUGGUCUGCAUGCUCAUAUCACUAAAUUUGAACCGAGAGGUCCGUGGUUCGAUUCCCGGCGAAGGCG